ACCCGCUGAACUUAAGCAUAUUAAUAAGCGGAGGAAAAGAAACUAACUAGGAUUCCCCCAGUAACGGCGAGUGAAGCGGGAUGAGCUCAAGCUUAAAAUCUCUGUGUCAAUUUGGCAUGGCGAAUUGUAGUCUAUAGAGGCGCUAUCAGUGCAGGCACUUGGGGUAAGUUCCUUGGAAGAGGACAGCAUCGAGGGUGAUACUCCCGUUUGUACCUGAGUGCUUGUGCGUACGAUACGUUUUCUUUGAGUCGCGUUGUUUGGGACUGCAGCGCAAAGUAGGUGGUAAAUUCCAUCUAAAGCUAAAUAUUGGUGCGAGACCGAUAGCGAACAAGUACCGUGAGGGAAAGAUGAAAAGAACUUUGAAAAGAGAGUUAAAGAGUACCUGAAACUGCUGAAAGGGAAGCGAAUCGUAUCCAGUGUCUAUAAUCUGUGGCAUAUUUCAUUGGCGUACGUGUGCGUGUUGUGUGUUGGAAGUGGUAAUUUCUUACCGCUCUGCAUGUAAUUCUGCGCGUGUCUGCUGGUGCCCUGUGUCAUGGUGGGACGUCAGAGUCAGUUCGUAUGCUGCGGGAAAUGGCUAUCGAGGAGGUAGGUCAGAAGCUUGCUUUUGGCUGUUAUAUCUUGGUAGCUAGUGAUCGCGGUUGGGACUGAGGUGCCUACAACGUGCUUUGGGGUCACUCGGAGUCUCCUUUGGCUGCCUGCUAGGAUAGCUUGCUAUGUUUGCGUGGUCGUCGGUGGAUGGAGUCUGAGUGUAACCUGUGCCGUUCGGGACUUUGACGAAAUGGAGCGAUUCGGCCCGUCUUGAAACACGG
rnacentral:rRNA from 2 species